GGGUUAAAACGGUUACCACUUACUAUCAAGUAAGGUUUUUUGUAUAGCCUCCCAAUCGCAUUUGCGGUCAUGUGAGGUUUACUUUACUUUAAAAAUUAUGUGACAGUCUUCGAUCAAUAAUACUACUAGAUUCGCGAUAAGCGCUUCAAAAACGGCCCGAAAAAUAAGACCACAAAUAAAUUUGUGGUCUUAUUUCAAAUUAGUAUGGUCCAAUCAUAGCCAACACUAAGACGUCAAACCGCUGCACUGCACGUUCAAAAACGGAGUAAAAAACCACCGUAACACCAAGGUUUUGGAAGGAAUAUAUUUUUUUGAUUUCCUAGUAGCCCCUUUUCACUGUGCACAAUGGAUAUAUAUUGUCGCGAAAGAAGGAGGAUAAGAAAUAUAGAACCCUUAUAAAAAUUCUAGAAUUGUUCAAUGGUGGUGGCAAAUCAAUGCAAAAAAGUAUUAUAAAAACUUUAUAUGUAUGUGUAAAUAUUUUAAGCGUAUAUGCUGAAAAGGAUUUGUUUUCUGGGGGAAACGAACACAGCCAUAAAAUAAGCCUAAAUUAAACUGAUUAUAGAAAAAUUCUUUAAUAUAAGAUUACAUUAUAUUUGUAAAAAAGAAACCGCUCAUAUAAAAAUGACUUCUAAAAAACAGCUUUAUUAUUUAUUACCUAUUUGUUGUAAUAGCGGCAAUGUAAAAUAUUAUCUACAACUUUUUUGAAUCGGUCAAAAAUAGUUGCGACCAUACAAAACAAACCUAAAACAAAUAUAUUCUGCAACUCUACGUCUUUCAAUACUUACUGUGUUCUGAGCAUUGAAAUGUAAUACCAAGAA